rnacentral:miRNA from 1 species
UCCUUUACAGGCUUUGAAGGGAGCAUGGCCUUGCUAACACCUUGAUUUUGGACUUCUGGCCUCCAGAGCUGUAAGAGAAUAAAUUUCUGUUGUAUUAGGCCAUCCGGUUUGUGGUGACUUGUUAUGGCAGCCCCAGAAA